rnacentral:lncRNA from 1 species
AUGGUAGCGGUAGAUAUUGUCUGGACUCAGGAAAGUAAAAAACCUGCUCCUGAAUUAGCUGAAGUGAUCUCUUACAGAAUGAAAGACGAAUAUAUUCUGGUUGCCAACGAGGGUGAAUACGGAAACGUACUGUUUUUUAUAACACCUCUUUGUGUCACCAGCAAAGAUAUUCAAGUAGUCAUCCAAGUUUUCCACAAAAUUGUGACUGAUGUUGAGACCUCCAAUUUAAGUUUAUCAAUGGGCUUCCCAGGAAGUUCGAGUGGUGUAAGCUCUAGUUCCAGUAGUCUUUAUCCAAUGGUUCAAUCAUGGCCAGAGUCAGACGAUAGUGACAGUGCUCUGGAUUCCUACAACUACCACUCCAUGGACUGA